rnacentral:rRNA from 1 species
UACGUAGGGGGCAAGCGUUGUCCGGAAUCAUUGGGCGUAAAGCGCGCGUAGGCGGCCCGGUAAGUCCGCUGUGAAAGUCAAAGGCUCAACCUUUGAAUGUCAGCGGAUACUGCCGGGCUAGAGUCCGGAAGAGGCGAGUGGAACUCCUGGUGUAGCGGUGAAAUGCGCAGAUAUCGGGAGGAACACCAAUGGCGAAGGCAGCUCGCUGGGACGUGACUGACGCUGAGACGCGAAAGCGUGGGGAGCAAACAGG